GGAGAAGUACUCAAGAGGCCGAAGAGGGCGGUUUGCUAAACCGUUAGGUCGGAAAUAACCGGCGCCAGGGUUCGAAUCCCUGCUUCUCCGCCA
rnacentral:tRNA from 1 species